GCCGGCGUAGCUCAGCGGUAGAGCAGCUGAUUCGUAAUCAGCAGGUCGGAGGUUCGAGUCCUCUCGCCGGCUCCA
rnacentral:tRNA from 1 species